rnacentral:rRNA from 1 species
AGAGUUUGAUCAUGGCUCAGAUUGAACGCUGGCGGCAGGCCUAACACAUGCAAGUCGGACGGUAGCACAGAAGAGCUUGCUCUUCGGGUGACGAGUGGCGGACGGGUGAGUAAUGUCUGGGAAACUGCCUGAUGGAGGGGGAUAACUACUGGAAACGGUAGCUAAUACCGCAUAACCUCGCAAGAGCAAAGUGGGGGACCUUCGGGCCUCACGCCAUCGGAUGUGCCCAGAUGGGAUUAGCUAGUAGGUGGGGUAACGGCUCACCUAGGCGACGAUCCCUAGCUGGUCUGAGAGGAUGACCAGCCACACUGGAACUGAGACACGGUCCAGACUCCUACGGGAGGCAGCAGUGGGGAAUAUUGCACAAUGGGCGCUAGCCUGAUGCAGCCAUGCCGCGUGUAUGAAGAAGGCCUUCGGGUUGUAAAGUACUUUCACCGCGCAGGAAGGCUGUGAGGUUAAUCACCUUUCCGAUUGACCUUGUCCUCCUAU